GAUGAACGCUGGCGGCGUGCCUAAUACAUGCAAGUCGAGCGAACGGACGAGAAGCUUGCUUCUCUGAUGUUAGCGGCGGACGGGUGAGUAACACGUGGAUAACCUACCUAUAAGACUGGGAUAACUUCGGGAAACCGGAGCUAAUACCGGAUAAUAUUUUGAACCGCAUGGUUCAAAAGUGAAAGACGGUCUUGCUGUCACUUAUAGAUGGAUCCGCGCUGCAUUAGCUAGUUGGUAAGGUAACGGCUUUCCAAGGCAACGAUGCAUAGCCGACCUGAGAGGGUGGUCGGCCACACUGGAACUGAGACACGGUCCAGACUCCUACGGGAGGCAGCAGUAGGGAAUCUUCCGCAAUGGGCGAAAGCCUGACGGAGCAACGCCGCGUGAGUGAUGAAGGUCUUCGGAUCGUAAAACUCUGUUAUUAGGGAAGAACAUAUGUGUAAGUAACUGUGAACAUCUUGACGGUACCUAAUCAGAAAGCCACGGCUAACUACGUG
rnacentral:rRNA from 1 species